rnacentral:rRNA from 1 species
GACGAACGCUGGCGGCGUGCUUAACACAUGCAAGUCGAACGAAGUGGCGAACGGGUGAGUAACGCGUAAUCAACCUGCCCUUCAGAGGGGGACAACAGUUGGAAACGAAUGCUCAUACCGCAUACUGAAGGAGGGGCUUGCGUCUGAUUAGCUAGUUGGAGGGGUAACGGCCCACCAAGGCGAUGAUAAGUAGCCGGUCUGGGAGGAUGAACGGCCACAUUGGGACUGAGACACGGCCCAGACUCCUACGGGAGGCAGCAGUGGGGAAUCUUCCGCAAUGGACGAAAGUCUGACGGAGCAACGCCGCGUGAGUGAUGACGGCCUUCGGGUUGUAAAGCUCUGUUAAUCGGGACGCGGUACCGGAAUAGAAAGCCACGGCUAACUACGUGCCAGCAGCCGCGGUAAUUC